rnacentral:rRNA from 1 species
AGUAACGCGUGGGUAACCUGCCUCGUACAGGGGGAUAACAGUUAGAAAUGACUGCUAAUACCGCAUGAGCGCACAGUGCUGCAUGGCACAGUGUGAAAAACUCCGGUGGUAUGAGAUGGACCCGCGUCUGAUUAGCUAGUUGGUGGGGUAACGGCCUACCAAGCCGACGAUCAGUAGCCGACCUGAGAGGGUGACCGGCCACAUUGGGACUGAGACACGGCCCAA